UAUGACAAAUUUUCCCUAGUACGAAAGGACCGGGAAAAUGAGGCCAAUGCUAAAAGUACGCCUCCUCUUAAAGUAGUGAAGUCAACUAAACUACCAAAAGAUAACCCCCAUAAUUCCUAGAAAAGGACCU
rnacentral:rRNA from 1 species